rnacentral:rRNA from 1 species
UACGUAGGGGGCAAGCGUUGUCCGGAUUUAUUGGGCGUAAAGAGCGUGUAGGCGGCCGUACAGGUCAGCUGUGAAAACUCGAGGCUCAACCUCGAGACGUCGGUUGAAACCGUACGGCUAGAGUCCGGAAGAGGAGAGUGGAAUUCCCGGUGUAGCGGUGAAAUGCGCAGAUAUCAGGAAGAACACCCGUGGCGAAGGCGGCUCUCUGGGACGGUACUGACGCUGAGACGCGAAAGCGUGGGGAGCGAACAGG